AACGAACGCUGGCGGCAUGCCUAACACAUGCAAGUCGAACGAGACCUUCGGGUCUAGUGGCGCACGGGUGCGUAACGCGUGGGAACCUGCCCUUAGGUUCGGAAUAACUCCCCGAAAGGGGUGCUAAUACCGGAUAAUGUCUUCGGACCAAAGGUUUAUCGCCUUUGGAUGGGCCCGCGUUGGAUUAGCUAGUUGGUAGGGUAAAAGCCUACCAAGGCGACGAUCCAUAGCUGGUCUGAGAGGAUGAUCAGCCACACUGGGACUGAGACACGGCCCAGACUCCUACGGGAGGCAGCAGUGGGGAAUAUUGGACAAUGGGCGAAAGCCUGAUCCAGCAAUGCCGCGUGAGUGAUGAAGGCCUUAGGGUUGUAAAGCUCUUUUACCCGGGAUGAUAAUGACAGUACCGGGAGAAUAAGCUCGGGCUAACUCCGUG
rnacentral:rRNA from 1 species